UACGUAGGUGGCAAGCGUUGUCCGGAUUUACUGGGCGUAAAGAGCGCGCAGGCGGUUGAUUAAGUCGAAUGUGAAAGCCCCCGGCUCAACUGGGGAGGGUCAUUCGAUACUGAUCGACUCGAAGGCAGGAGAGGGAAGUGGAAUUCCGGGUGUAGUGGUGAAAUGCGUAGAUAUCCGGAGGAACACCAGUGGCGAAGGCGACUUCCUGGCCUGUUCUUGACGCUGAGGCGCGAAAGCUGGGGGAGCAAACGGG
rnacentral:rRNA from 1 species